rnacentral:rRNA from 1 species
AUUGAACGCUGGCGGCAGGCCUAACACAUGCAAGUCGAACGAGUGGCGGACGGGUGAUUAAUGUCUGGGAACCUGCCCGAUGGAGGGGGAUAACUACUCGAAACUGUAGCUAAUACCGCAUACCAUCGGAUGUGCCCAUAUGGGAUUAGCUAGUGGGUGGGGUAACGGCUCACCUAGGCGACGAUCCCUAGCUGGUCUGAGAGGAUGACCAGCCACACUGGGACUGAGACACGGUCCAGACUCCUACGGGAGGCAGCAGUGGGGAAUAUUGCACAAUGGGCGCAAGCCUGAUGCAGCCAUGCCGCGUGUAUGAAGAAGGCCUUCGGGUUGUAAAGUACUUUCAGCGGGGAGGCGUUACCCGCAGAAGAAGCACCGGCUAACUCCGUGCCAGCAGCCGCGGUAAUAC